CCCUUUGAAUGAGUAUUCUUAUAUUUCUAGGGGGUAAGUACACAGUAGUGUGAUUGCUGUACCAUAAGGUAGUUCUACUUUUAACUUUUUGAGGAACCUCCAUACUGUCUGUCACUUUGUCUGCCCCAGUUUGCAUUCUCACCAACAGGAGAAAGCAUACAAGCAGGGGAAAGGUGCAGAGGAAAAGAGAGAAUCUUAAGCAGGCUCCAUGCUCAGAACGGAGCCUGAGUCAGGACUUGAUCCAGUCCAUGGCCUUGGGAUAAUGAUCUGAACCGAAAUCAAGAGUCAGAGGCUCAACUGACUGAGCCACCCAGGCACCCCCAGUUUUCGAACUUGCAACUUUCAAUAUUAAGCAAACCAAGAAGAAUGAGAGGCAAAAAUUCUGUGGUUGAAAUCUUAAGGACUUCAAGAAGAGAUUGGUGUCAUAAAAAUAAAACAAGUAACCUGUAUAUGUAUAAAAAAUACAACUCAUCAGCUUCACACCACUAGCAGAAUGAGUUCACUGUUUCAAGCAUUCAAUAUUUCUGAUGAAAUGGAUUUUAAUACAUCACAUUUUAUUAAAAUUUUUCAUCAAAAAUUACAUUGAAAUAAAGCCUCGUGUUCUUUUCCAAGCA